UGCGUAGGUGGUUUUUUAAGUCAAGUGUUAAACCCGCAGGCUCAACUUGUGGGCUGCACUUGAUACUGGGAGACUUGAGAGUAAAAGAGGCAGACGGAAUUUACGGUGGAGCGGUAAAAUGCGUAGAUAUCGUAAAGAACACCAAUGGCGAAGGCAGUCUGCUGGGUUACUUCUGACACUGAGGCACGAAAGCGUGGGUAGCGAACGGAAUUAGAUACUCCGGUAGUCCACGCCGUAAACGAUCCUUACUAGCUUUUUUGGGUAUCGACCCCCGGAGAAGCGAAGCUAACGCGUUAAGUAAGGCGCCUGGGGAGUACGAGCGCAAGCUUAAA
rnacentral:rRNA from 1 species